AUAAUACUCCCUCCGUUCUGAAUUACUUGUCGCAGGUAUGGAUGUAUCUAAAUGUAUUUUAGUUCUAGAUACAUCCAUUUCUGUGACGAGUAAUUUGGAACGGAGGGAGUAGUUA
rnacentral:pre_miRNA from 1 species